UACGUAGGGGUGCGAGCGUUUAAUCGGAAUUACUGGGCGUAAAGCGUGCGCAGGCGGUUUUGUAAGCCAGAUGUGAAAUCCCCCGGGCUUAACCUGGGAAUGGCAUUUGGGACUGCAAGGCUUGAGUGCGGCAGAGGAGGGUAGAAUUCCACGUGUAGCAGUGAAAUGCGUAGAGAUGUGGAGGAACACCGAUGGCGGAAGGCAGCCCCCCUGGGUCAAGACUGACGCCUCAUGCACGAAAGCGUGGGGAGCAAACAGG
rnacentral:rRNA from 1 species